rnacentral:rRNA from 1 species
UACAGAGGGUACAAGCGUUGUUCGGAAUUAUUGGGCGUAAAGCGCGUGUAGGCGGUCCAUUAAGUCUGGUGUGAAAGCCCGGGGCUUAACCCCGGAAGUGCACUGGAUACUGGCGGACUAGAGGACGGGAGAGGGUAGUGGAAUUCCUGGUGUACCGGUGAAAUGGGUAGAUAUCAGGAAGAACAUCGGUGGCGAAGGCGGCUACCUGGCCCGUAUCUGACGCUGAGACGCGAAAGCGUGGGGAGCAAACAGG